rnacentral:misc_RNA from 1 species
GAUGAAGAACGUAGCGAAAUGCGAUAAGUAGUGUGAAUUGCAGAAUUCAGUGAAUCAUCGAAUCUUUGAACGCACAUUGCGCCCCAUGGUAUUCCGUGGGGCAUGCCUGUUCGAGCGUCAUUUACCCCCUCAAGCUCCGCUUGGCGUUGGGCGUCUGUCCCGCUUCGCGCGCGGACUCGCCCCAAAGGUAUUGGCAGCGGUCGUGCCAGCUUCUCGCGCAGCACAUUGCGCUUCUCGAGGCACCGGUGGGCCCGCGUCCAUCAAGCUCACCCCCCCAGUUUGACCUCGGAUCAGGUAGGGAUACCCGCUGAACUUAAGCAUAUCAAUAAGCGGAGGA